UUUAAACAUGAGAGUUUGAUCCUGGCUCAGAACGAACGCUGGCGGCACGCCUAACACAUGCAAGUCGAACGGGACUAUAGACUUCGGUCUAUAGUUUAGUGGCAGACGGGUGAGUAACACGUGGGAAACUACCCAACGGUGGGGAAUAACUGUGGGAAACCGCAGCUAAUACCGCAUACGCCCUUAGGGGGAAAGGCUUCGGCCGUCGUUAGAGGAUCCCGCGUUCGAUUAGCUAGUUGGUGAGGUAAUGGCUCACCAAGGCGACGAUCGAUAGCUGAUCUGAGAGGAUGAUCAGCCACACUGGAACUGAGACACGGUCCAGACUCCUACGGGAGG
rnacentral:rRNA from 1 species